AAAAUCGUUAUGGCCAAUAUUAUUAAAAUCAUGUUAUUGGAAGAGUGGUUCCGGUUCAGUUCGGAGUCUGCCUAGAAACUAAAACAGAAAUCGAACUGAAAUUUUUGUAUGGUUCCAAUUCAGUUCUUUAUUGUUUCGAUUUUGAUUCGGUGUGAUUCUUGAUUCUUCGAUCCGAUAUGGUUUCUGUUUGAUUCUCUAUUCUUGAAAUAAUUUUAGGUAAUUAAAAAAAUCUUAUUUAAA
rnacentral:misc_RNA from 1 species